GAAGGAAUUCUGACCUAGCCUCAACCAGGCUCAAGCAGAUAAGACUGAAGAACAGUUCCCCUGUAACCCUCCAAAAGCUGGCUGAUUCUUGGAAUCUGGGAGAACAGGCAGGGCUGCCUUUAAGAAAGUAAAUGAAGGAUGUGAAUCCAACCUUUAAAAAAAAAGCCCUGGGGGUGGUGAGAGGAGAAGUAGCAGGAUCAGUGGAGCUUCGGGGUGGGUGUGAAAGUCCCCCAGGAGGGUGGUGAUAUUAUUCCCAUUUUGCAGAUGACGAAACCCUGGCUCAGAGGUUAACUUGUUCAAGGUCAACCAGUUGGCAGUGACCGAUAUGGGAUUUGAACCAUCAGGAUGCCAAUGCUUGCCCUCUUAAUCCCUGUGUGGCUCAACGUAUGGGCUAAACGUCGCCUUCAGUCCGUGCGCUUCAUCCUCAAAGCCUGCAUUUUACUCUCAGCAUGUUCCCAGUCCUUCUCCCGGGAACUGGAGGAACUCACGCAGAGGCUCGCCCGGAUGAGAUGAGCUCCCUGGCGGCGGGCCGGACUGCGGGUAGGGGCGGGCACCCAGCCGCCUCUGCGCAGGCCUCCUCCACCCACGUGAGGGGUCGGGGCGCGGUCGCCUGGAGUCGUGGAGCGCGGCCGCAGUGCGGUGGGCACUGAGCUAGAAAGGGGCGGAAAGCGACAGCGAGAAUCCAUUCCAAAUGAGCAGCCAAGAGGAGACGCGGCAGCUCCCAGAUGUUGAUGUUUUGUUUUUUGACAUAAAUCUUUGCACUCAUAUGGGAGUUUUCAUUGAUUUAUGUUUCCAUCUGCUGAAUUUCCUUUUAUUUAUUUAAUACGGCUUUUUGG
ensembl:lncRNA